AAUACAGGGAUGUCUGACCAGGACUCCUUGACCUACACAGGCCUCUGCUCUGGGGGAGAUGGCCAGUCCUGGUAUCUGAGUGAUU